CGAAACUGCGAAUGGCUCAUUAAAUCAGUUAUCGUUUAUUUGAUAGUACCUUACUACAUGGAUAACCGUGGUAAUUCUAGAGCUAAUACAUGCUAAAAAUCCCGACUUCGGAAGGGAUGUAUUUAUUAGAUUAAAAACCAAUGCCCUUCGGGGCUCUCUGGUGAUUCAUAAUAACUUCUCGAAUCGCACGGCCUUGCGCCGGCGAUGGUUCAUUCAAAUUUCUGCCCUAUCAACUUUCGACGGCUGGGUCUUGGCCAGCCGUGGUGACAACGGGUAACGGAGGGUUAGGGCUCGACCCCGGAGAAGGAGCCUGAGAAACGGCUACUACAUCCAAGGAAGGCAGCAGGCGCGCAAAUUACCCAAUCCCGACACGGGGAGGUAGUGACAAUAAAUACUGAUACAGGGCUCUUUCGGGUCUUGUAAUUGGAAUGAGUACAAUUUAAAUCCCUUAACGAGGAACAAUUGGAGGGCAAGUCUGGUGCCAGCAGCCGCGGUAAUUCCAGCUCCAAUAGCGUAUAUUAAAGUUGUUGAGGUUAAAAAGCUCGUAGUUGAACCUUGGGCCUAGCCGGCCGGUCCGCCUCACCGCGUGCACUGGCUCGGCUGGGUCUUUCCUUCUGGAGAACCGCAUGCCCUUCACUGGGUGUGCCGGGGAACCAGGACUUUUACUCUGAACAAAUUAGAUCGCUUAAAGAAGGCCUAUGCUCGAAUACAUUAGCAUGGAAUAAUAGAAUAGGACGUGUGGUUCUAUUUUGUUGGUUUCUAGGACCGCCGUAAUGAUUAAUAGGGACAGUCGGGGGCAUCAGUAUUCAAUUGUCAGAGGUGAAAUUCUUGGAUUUAUUGAAGACUAACUACUGCGAAAGCAUUUGCCAAGGAUGUUUUCAUUAAUCAGGAACGAAAGUUAGGGGAUCGAAGACGAUCAGAUACCGUCGUAGUCUUAACCAUAAACUAUGCCGAUUAGGGAUCGGACGGCGUUAUUUUUU
rnacentral:rRNA from 1 species